GUCUACAAUAAUGGCCUACACCAGUGGGCAUUAUUUCAUUUUUUGUGCUACAUUGGCGUUACAGUCAUACAGUCAUUAUAUCUUUAAUACAAUUUUGCGUGACAAUUUUGUCAAAAGUGUGAGCAUCUGCAUGGAUCUACUUGGACUUGGACUGCCUUGAGUUGUCUAUGACAUUACCACAUAGCGACUUUGACUAUAAACAUCAGGUGUGAAUUUCACAGCAUUUUUGGCCAAGCUAUAAGUGGGCUGCUGGCAUGAGUUCGCCUCUUGGUUCACCUGGUGCUGCCGCCUGGCGGCUAGAAGCCGAAGCUGUAGUCGCCGACAUCGCGCCGCAUGUGGCAUUCGCGGCACCCUCUUCUCUUCCCGGCGACUCGUCGGGAACUUACCUCAACAUCACCACACUAGAAGGCCGUCAGAUGACUGUACGUGUCUCCGCGGGAGGCUUCUCCAUCUGCGGUGACGGACACGAUUCCUGCGGCGGAACGAGCGAGGGAGACACCCCCCUCUCUUCUCAGGAUGGAGGAGUGGACGGCAAGGUGUACGAGACGCCGUACGCGCUGCUGAAUGACGUCAGUCCGGCUUACACUGCAGCGUUCAGCCGAGCGCUGGUGGAGAGACUAGGUCAGCUGGCGGAGAACGGGAGUGAUGAUGAAGAGAGAGAGGAAGAGCGCGGGAAAGAGCAGAAUGACGGUGGGGAGAGGAGUGGUGAAGUGAAAGAUGGAGGGAUGAACAGUGCGAAGGAGGAUGGACUCACGAAUAUGAACAGUUCAGAAACACCUUGAUAUUAAGUAUUGCUAGCGACAAGGCUAUGCUAGCGAAGUGUUACACGUGCUUUUGGUGAUGCUAAGAGCAGUGAGCGGUUUGUAAUUGUAACGCUGGUUAUGGAAAAAGCGUUGUCUGCGUACUUCACGUCGGCUCAUUGAUGUGCUCAGACUUCGGGUGUUUCAUUGCUAUUAAAAUAGCCUGCUGAAGAAGACCAAACGAAACAGUCUUACGUACUUGAGCGCUGCACUUGCAUUUGCAGUCGCUUAUUGGGGUGUCUUUCUGUUGGCAUGAUGCGGGCCGAGUUUUUAUCUAGUCAUCAGCGGCUCGACAUUGACAUCUUUUGUUGUGUAACAGGACCAUCAGUCACGUUAAUUUUCCACAGCAUUGUAAAUAAAACAAAGCACCUUACAGAGAGGAUCUGUCGGCGCUGUAGAUUUGUAAUACAUGAAGUGCCUAAUGCAUA